GACCCUGUCGGCAGCACACACUAAAACUGGAGCGAUACAGAGAAGAUCAGCACGGCCCUGCGCAAGGGUGACACGCAAAGUCGUGAAGCGUUCCAUGUUUUU